rnacentral:rRNA from 1 species
UACAGGGGAUGCAAGUGUUAUCCGGAAUUAUUGGGCGUAAAGCGUCUGUAGGUUGAUAAUUAAGUCUUUUGUUAAACCUUCGGGCUCAACCCGAAAUCUGCAAAAGAAACUAUUUAUCUUGAGUAUGGUAGAGGUAAAGGGAAUUUCCAGUGGAGCGGUGAAAUGCGUAGAUAUUGGAAAGAACACCAACAGCGAAGGCACUUUACUGGGCCAUUACUGACACUGAGAGACGAAAGCUAGGGGAGCAAACGGG